rnacentral:rRNA from 1 species
UACGUAGGGCGCAAGCGUUAUCCGGAAUUAUUGGGCGUAAAGAGCUCGUAGGCGGUUUGUCGCGUCUGCCGUGAAAGUCCGGGGCUCAACUCCGGAUCUGCGGUGGAUACGGGCAGACUAGAGUUCGGUAGGGGAGACUGGAAUUCCUGGUGUAGCGGUGAAAUGCGCAGAUAUCAGGAGGAACACCGGUGGCGAAGGCGGGUCUCUGGGCCGAAACUGACGCUGAGGAGCGAAAGCGUGGGGAGCAAACAGG